rnacentral:lncRNA from 1 species
GAUGAUCCCCUGAUCGCGCAUGGAGAGGAGCUGCUAACAGACGCCAAAGAUCGUGCGUGGGAUGCUGCGGACGUGGAGGGGUGAUUUGCGGACAGCUGGGCUGAUCACGGGUGCGGACAACGCGUAGAUGGGUGCAGAAGAUGCUCGCGGACGUUGAUUGCUUCACGGGAUGCUGGGACUCCGAAAGAUUGCUCGCGGACGUUGAUUGCGGAAGCUCUGAAACGGGGAAGAGGCAGACGCGGAAACGGAAGAUUUGAAAGGAAUUUGAUGCGGGAGAAUCACCAUGGAUGGCUGGAUGGAGGCUGAUUGUGAACUCCGGAGCAUCGUGGACGGUUGGGAUGGCUGAGACGUGGAUCCGGAAGCACGGGAGCCGAUCGCGGUUGAGGACGACGCGCGGAUGCUGCUGGGAGGCGGACGGACGCAGGCGGAGGAGGUGGGCGGAUGGCUGGGCAGUGAUCACGGACGGCUUGGGA